rnacentral:ncRNA from 1 species
AUUGUUGCGACAGAAUUUCUGCGUAGUACGCGAGCGAUCGUAGGUACGGACCAAUGGCACUAUACCUGGUCGAGCGAAAAGUGUUAUGACGCUACGUCCUUUCGAUCAUGCCUGAACGCCUUUAAAGACAUAUCCGAACUGGACUGCAAUAAU